UACGGAGGGCGCGAGCGUUGUCCGGAAUCACUGGGCGUAAAGGGCGCGUAGGCGGCCCUGGUAAGUCUGCGGUGAAAGCCCGGGGCUCAACCCCGGGUCGGCCGCGGGUACUGCCGGGCUGGAGUGCCGUAGGGGCAGGCGGAAUUCCGGGUGUAGCGGUGGAAUGCGCAGAGAUCCGGAAGAACACCGGUGGCGAAGGCGGCCUGCUGGGCGGCGACUGACGCUGAGGCGCGACAGCGUGGGGAGCAAACAGG
rnacentral:rRNA from 1 species